rnacentral:rRNA from 1 species
GUGGGGAAUCUUGCGCAAUGGGCGAAAGCCUGACGCAGCCAUGCCGCGUGAAUGAUGAAGGUCCUAGGAUUGUAAAAUUCUUUCACCGGGGACGAUAAUGACGGUACCCGGAGAAGAAGCCCCGGCUAACUUCGUGCCAGCAGCCGCGGUAAUACGAAGGGGGCUAGCGUUGCUCGGAAUUACUGGGCGUAAAGGGCGCGUAGGCGGACAGUUUAGUCAGAGGUGAAAGCCCAGGGCUCAACCUUGGAAUUGCCUUUGAUACUGGCUGUCUUGAGUACGGGAGAGGUGAGUGGAACUCCGAGUGUAGAGGUGAAAUUCGUAGAUAUUCGGAAGAACACCAGUGGCGAAGGCGACUCACUGGCCCGUUACUGACGCUGAGGCGCGAAAGCGUGGGGAGCAAACAGGAUUAGAUACCCCGGUAGUCC